UACGGAGGAUCCAAGCGUUAUCCGGAUUCACUGGGUUUAAAGGGUGCGUAGGAGGGUAGGUAAGUCAGUGGUGAAAUCUUCGAGCUUAACUCGGAAACUGCCGUUGAUACUAUCUAUCUUGAAUACCGUGGAGGUGAGCGGAAUAUGUCAUGUAGCGGUGAAAUGCUUAGAUAUGACAUAGAACACCAAUUGCGAAGGCAGCUCGCUACACGAAUAUUGACUCUGAGGCACGAAAGCGUGGGGAUCAAACAGG
rnacentral:rRNA from 1 species